GCCGGGCAUGGUGGUGGGCGCCUGUAAUCCCGGCUACUCAGGAGGCUGAGGUAGGAGAAUUGCUUGAGCCCAGGAGGCAGAGGUUGCAGUGAGCUGAGAUCACACCACUGCACUCCAGCCUGAGCGACAGAGCAAGACCCUAUCUCAA
rnacentral:SRP_RNA from 1 species